rnacentral:rRNA from 1 species
UACAGAGGGUGCGAGCGUUAAUCGGAAUUACUGGGCGUAAAGCGCGCGUAGGCGGCUUUGCAAGUCGGGUGUGAAAUCCCCAGGCUUAACCUGGGAACUGCAUUCGAGACUGCAUUGCUAGAGUAUGGGAGAGGGAAGUGGAAUUUCCGGUGUAGCGGUGAAAUGCGUAGAGAUGCGGAGGAACACCGAUGGCGAAGGCAGCCCCCUGGGCCAAUACUGACGCUCAGGCACGAAAGCGUGGGGAGCAAACAGG